GAGGAUGUGGCUCAGUAGUAGAGCUCUUGCUUUGCAUGCAGAGGCCCCUGGGUUCAAUCCCCAGCACCACCA
rfam:Cavia porcellus supercont2_26 genomic scaffold, whole genome shotgun sequence.